rnacentral:rRNA from 1 species
UAGGGAAUCUUCCACAAUGGACGCAAGUCUGAUGGAGCAACGCCGCGUGAGUGAAGAAGGUCUUCGGAUCGUAAAACUCUGCUGUUAGAGAAGAACACGAGUGAGAGUAACUGUUCAUUCGAUGACGGUAUCUAACCAGCAAGUCACGGCUAACUACGUGCCAA